GGACUAUUCAUGUUGUUGCGG
rnacentral:siRNA from 1 species